UUAAGUUCAGCGGGUAGUCCUACCUGAUUUGAGGUCAAAAUGUCAAAAGUUGUCCAAAGACGGUUAUGAGCGGGUUCCCAUAAGUUUUGCUUCAAAGUCAAAUGGCAUAGAUAAUUAUCACACCAAGUGACGGUCCACAAGAGAUCCCACUAAUGCAUUUAAAGGGAGCAGACCGUCCACUGAAGGAAGCCAGCAAGCCC
rnacentral:misc_RNA from 1 species